rnacentral:rRNA from 1 species
UACGUAGGGUGCAAGCGUUAAUCGGAAUUACUGGGCGUAAAGCGUGCGCAGGCGGUGAUGUAAGACAGGUGUGAAAUCCCCGGGCUUAACCUGGGAACUGCAUUUGUGACUGCAUCGCUGGAGUGCGGUAGAGGGGGAUGGAAUUCCGCGUGUAGCAGUGAAAUGCGUAGAUAUGCGGAGGAACACCGAUGGCGAAGGCAAUCCCCUGGGCCUGCACUGACGCUCAUGCACGAAAGCGUGGGGAGCAAACAGG